rnacentral:tRNA from 1 species
AUUGAUGUGUCUGAUUAAGGUUGUAAACUGUAAAUUUACCUAUAGAAUAAAUUCUCUUCAAUA